rnacentral:rRNA from 1 species
UACGUAGGGUGCGAGCGUUGUCCGGAAUUACUGGGCGUAAAGAGCUCGUAGGUGGUUUGUCGCGUUGUCCGUGAAAACUCACAACUCAAUUGUGGGCGUGCGGGCGAUACGGGCAGACUGGAGUACUGCAGGGGAGACUGGAAUUCCUGGUGUAGGCGGUGGAAUGCGCAGAUAUCAGGAGGAACACCGGUGGCGAAGGCGGGUCUCUGGGCAGUGAACUGACGCUGGAGGAGCGAAAGCGUGGGGAGCGAACAGG